UUUUUUUUUAAUGUUGAAGGCCUCAUCUGACUAGACAGGAAAGAAUAUCCUGUAAUGAUUCCUUUUUGCCAGGGUCCUUUGCUCUCAGCAAAACAGUUAGUUUCUGUUUCUUAGGCCUUCCUGUGGAAACCCUACCGUUUCCUGGCAUCAGUGCCCACUAAAAGAACAAGUUCACGUUUGUUCUUCCCUGAGCAGAGAGAAUGUGUGAGCUGGAUUCUUCAGAGGAGGAGUUGAAGCUGUCCCCGAGCCACGUGUUAGGUGGUUGGGAGGCCCAGAUGGUUUCUUUUGUUCCCCUGUUAGAGAGCAGCUCAUCCCAUACAGGCGCCGUCCUGUUCAGCUCCAGUUCACCAGGAGUCAUUUCCUGUCCUACUUAGUGUCCACUGCCUGCUUGGGCAUUCUUCCUGUGGUUUCAUUUGUUUGAGUCAGCUCUUUUCUAAAGAAACAUUUUUAAUUAUGUGUAUGUACAUCUUUGUACAAGUGCCCUAAGGAGGUCAGAGGAGUCCCAUCAUCCCCUGGGAGCUGGGUUAAAGCCUGAUGUGGGUGCUGGGAACUGAACUUGGAUCCUUGUAAGUCUCUCCAGCCCCAGAACUGCGUGUGUGUGUGUCUGUGUGAGAGAGAGAGAGAGAGAGAGAGAGUCUCAUUGUAUAGAUGAGGCUGGGGGAGGAGGCAGUGGAGGCUGGGGGAUAACCUGUGAGACUCUCUUCUCUCCUUCCACCAUUGGCUCCCAAGGGUUAAGCUCACCUCAUUAGGCUUGACAGCCAGCACUUGUCACCACUGCUCUACUGCACUGCCCUGGCCCUGAUCUUGAGCUUCUGGUCUGUCUGUCCCGGGACUGCACGUGUUAGCCACCGUAUGGUGCAUGAUACAUCUCUAGCAUAUGAAUUACAGUGACAGAUUUAAGAUUCUUUUCAUUGACGAAGUAUAGAAGAAUUUCACACAAGCUCCUGAAGAUUUAAAUCGUUGUCAUUUAUUAACUAGCCUUACAGGGGGAAACUUCAAUAGAUUUCAAUGCAACUAGAACAAUAGGUUGGCCUUGAACCCAAGAUCCUUCCACCUCAACCUCUGGAGUACUGGCACCACAGGUUUUCACUACCGUGAGAAAUCUGUCAGGAUGUCUGCGCCACUUGAGUGUGCUUCAUCCCUUUGGAGAAAGCUGGGCAGAUGUCAUUACCUUCACUUCAUGGAUAGGAACUUAGAAAUCGGGGCCUGGCGUUAUUUGUUCCUGUCAGUAUCUAUCAUUCACGGUGCUGAGGCAAGAGAACUGCAGCCCAGGAGUUUAAGCCCAGCCUGGAUAAUAUAGGAAGACUGUCUCAAAAAAUAAAAAAUAA
rnacentral:lncRNA from 1 species